UAUAUCGGGUGGAUAGCUAUUUUUACUUUCCUUGCUACCGUGACCUAAACUUUGAGAGAGUAUUUUUAUACAAAAUUACAGGAAUACAGUGCAGAGAAGCCUCCCUGCGCGAAAAGGUUCCUGUUCAGGGUUCUUUCCUGUUCCUGUUAUUAAAAUUAGUAGAAAAUGUUAAGCAACCAUUUCAAACAAAAAUGUGCAGACAUGCUUUCGGGUACAAUAUUCUUGCUGCAUAGUCUCCAGUCUGUCGUAGGUGGUUCUCCUCUUGAGGCUAUAGCAUUGCAGUUCGCAUCCAAUCCUCUGAAGAAGUGGCUUUCGAUGUUAUCCGCAUAAGUUAGAGCCGAUAUUUUAGUAUUAUCCAUUUCUUAACAUUCUAAAACACUUUUGACUUAAAUUAAGUUCUGUAACUUAUGAUUGUAUGAUUGUCUCAAGUAUGAUUGAGAAGCUGUUUAUUCCCUUUUCUUGAGCAUAGCAAGAAUUGUGGUCUACCAGAAGCCGGAGAAGGUGUAGUCAUAGUCGGAGUUCUUCUCCUUCUCUAUAGGCGGGCAAAUGUGAGUAGAUGAUCUGUGGAUAUAGGAAACUGAAGCAAAAACGGAAUUCAUAAUAAAAUUAAAUAUGAAACAAUA
rnacentral:sRNA from 1 species